rnacentral:misc_RNA from 1 species
GAUGAAGAACGUAGCGAAAUGCGAUACUUGGUGUGAAUUGCAGAAUCCCGUGAACCAUCGAGUCUUUGAACGCAAGUUGCGCCCGAAGCCUCGGCUAAGGGCACGUCUGCCUGGGCGUCACGCAUCGCGUCUCCCCCAAACCGCCAAGGCGGAGGGGAAGGAAGAUGGCUUCCCGUGCCUCACCCGGCGCGGUUGGCCUAAAUUUGGAGCCCGCGGCACUUAGCUCUCGCGGCGAUAGGUGGUGAACAAGGCCUUGGCCGUGCAAACAACCCGCUGCGAAGCUCUAUGACACGUGCGCUCGUCGGACCCUUUGAAGUUGCCUUCGGUGACUUAAAACCUUUGCGACCCCAGGUCAGGCGGGGCUACCCGCUGAAUUUAAGCAUAUCAAUAAGCGGAGGA